GGGGUAUUGCUAAAGAUAGAAAUCAGUUUCAUGAAUCUUAAAAUGGAGAAAAAAGUAACUGGGGAGGGACCAUGACUCUGGGAAUAAAAUUUCUGUAAUUAAUAUCCAGAAUUUUUAAAAGGACACUAUUGAGAUAGUAAAGCUUUUUUUUUUUUUUAAGUCUAAGAAAAAUUUCCCAUGUAAUUGGAUAUUAUUGAAAGGCAUCCUUUAUUGAUUGCUUGAUAUUCAUUUGCAGACAAGUUGAAGAGCUGUUUUGCAAAAUAUUAAGGGUCAUUGUCUUGGAAGUCAUUCCUCACCCAUCUCCAGGGUUCAUGCUAAAAGAGCAUCUUCUCAGGAGACUCACAAAAGAAAGGGGAGAAAUGGCAGCAGCCCAGCCAUCCAUCAUCUCCACUCACCAACCCCAGCCCCAGUACAGAAAACUUUCUCUGAAGUGGUGCUGCUGCUUUAGGUACGUUUGUUACAUCAGAAUUGGGGCCUCAUUUAUCCAAAAACAAAUAAUAAUAAUAAUAAUGUAACGAUAUCUUGUGGAAAAUUCUCCUUAAAUAGGUAGACUCCUGUUUCCACUAUUCCUUGACCUAACCUUAUUCCAGGACAAGCUCAGAUCAUCAAGAACAGACCAUUUACGUGGAUUAUGAUACACUUACUUUUGUAAAUAUUCUCCUAAUGUUGGAUUUUCAUUUGGGUUCUAGUUUCUUGCUAUAAUAAAAAUUUUGUAAUGGUUAUACAUGUACAUUUAUUCAGCACAGCUAAUAUUAUCCCCAGAAUAUAUUCAGGGAAGUAAAACCAUCAAGUCAAAGAGAGUGAUGGUGUUUAAGGAUUCUGAUUCAUAUUGUUUUAUUAAUAUCCAUUAAAAUCUUCUAAUUUGUGCUCCUGUCAGCAGUAUAUGACAUCUAUCUCACCACAGGCACAUGAGCUUGAGAUCUCAAUAUUCUUGUUCUUAUCUAAUUUGAUAAGUAAAUAUAAUAUCUAAUUAUUGUUUUAAAUUUAAUUUAUUUGACUACUAAUAUGAUUUUGCUUUUUAAUGACACGCAUUUCAUCUCUUACAUUUCUUUGCAUAUUUAUUUUCUACUCAUCUCAUUUGCCCACAUUUUCAGUAAGGUAUUAACAUUUUAUCCUAUUGAUGAAAGCAAUUAUUUACAUAUUAAAGGUUUUAAUCUAUUGUCUUAUUUCUUACUAAUAUUACAAGUUAGUGCUUGG
rnacentral:lncRNA from 1 species